AUGGGGUUUAUUAUCAGGAAUCAUGGAGCAACGCUGAGAUUUGGGGGUGAAAAGGAGCUUUGAGCAGAAGGCAGGCAGAGGAGUGUAGGGAGAGACCAGCCCAUUGUAUAGAGAUGUUCCUCCUGUUGGGGUUUUGGGUAUUAUUUCUUUUUCUUUUUUAUUUUAAUUUUAUUUUCCCUUUUAUUUUCUUUUUGGUUUUUGUUUGUUUGGUUUUUUUUUUUAAUUCUACUUUAGAUCUGCAAGCUUGUGCACUGUGGGUGCGUGACUAUUUUAGUGUGAACCGUGUUUUUUGUCAUAGUAUUGAAAUAAUAAAAGCUUCAACAUAGUUUGGAUGUGGAAGGUGUAGCGCUAGUUCAGAUUUGAGAAACGAACAGACAAAAAAAAAUAAAUAUUCAGGAAUUAAAAUAAUUUAAAAAAGAGAAAGAGAACAACUCUUACAAAGAGCAGAAGCCUUUAAAUGAGAAGAGCAGCCCGAGGUGGCUGUGAAGGAUGAGGGGUGUGGGGCUGUGUCCGUGCAUUCCUUGGGAACGUGCAGGUGUUCCGUGGCAUCACUCCGUGUCCAGCUGUGAGAAACAAUGGCCUUGUCGUUUGCUGACUGUGGGGUUUCUUGCAUUUUGUUUUCCUCAGCUCCUGGGGUGCACGGGGAGGGCGGUGGGGCUGCAGGCUGAGGCUCCCCUGCCCGUCCUGGGGGGGUUUGGGGCAGGAUGGGGCUUUGUGCCCGAACCCGGCACUUUGAGCAGCGCCCCCGAGCUCUGGGCACCUCAGGCUCCUGGUCCCCUUUGUUUUCCCCGAGGAAAUGAAUCCAUCCAAGGCAGCUGUGGCUCUGUGUGUCCAUCCCCGGGUUGGUGGCACUGCUGUGGCCAUUCCUUGUGUCCAUCCCUGGGUUGGUGACACUGCUGUGGCCAUUCCUUGUGUCCAUCCCUGGGUUGGUGACACUGCCCUGGCUCUGUGUGUCCAUCCCUGGGUUGGUGGCCCUGCUGUGGCCAUUCCUUGUGUCCAUCCCUGGGUUGGUGGCACUGCCCUGGCUCUGUGUGUCCAUCCCAGGGUUGGUAGCCCUGCCGUGGCCAUUCCUUGUGUCCAUCCCUGGGUUGGUGGCCCUGCCCUGGCUCUGUGUGUCCAUCCCAGGGUCGGUGGCCCUGCUGUGGCCAUUCCAUGUGUCCAUCCCCGGGUCGGUGGCCCUGCUGUGGCCAUUCCAUGUGUCCAUCCCCGGGUCGGUGGCCCUGCUGUGGCCAUUCCAUGUGUCCAUCCCCGGGUCGGUGGCCCUGCUGUGGCCAUUCCAUGUGUCCAUCCCCGGGUCGGUGGCCCUGCUGUGGCCAUUCCAUGUGUCCAUCCCCGGGUCGGUGGCCCUGCUGUGGCCAUUCCUUGUGUCCAUCCCAGGUCAGUGGCCCUGCCCUGGCUCUGUGUGGCCCUGCCAUGCCCCCGUGCCCGUCCCCAGUGCCACAGGAGCUGCCAUCUCGUGCUGCACCAUUCGUACCGGUGACAAUUGUGCAUCACCCCGUCGGCUUCCCGAGUGCUUUUCUGUUCACACUUUUCUAUGGAGCCUUCAAACCCCACGUUUUUCACCACCAGGCUGUUUUGAUAGUUGUUCUCAGCCCCUCCAUGGCCAUCCUUCCCCAGCAUUCCCUACUUUUGGGGGCCUUCUAUCUUGUUAAAAAAACAAAAAAACAAAAAAUCUUUUUACCGAGUGAAACAUCGACUCCACCUUUAUCCCCAUUCUCACUGGUGUAAAUACUGAUACUAACUGAGGAUUUUGACUUUGCAUUCUGUCAGAAUACUGUGUUCAAAUAAAAACUAAAAAAAAAAAAAAAAAAAAAAAAAAAAAAAAAAAAAAAAAAAAAAAAAAAAAAAAAGCUGAUGCCUGCAGUCUGCCCUUCUUUAGCUGCUCUCAUCCCAACUGAGUGGCACUAAAAGCCCUUUCAUGUUUCUUUCUUUGUCCCUCUAUAUUUAUUUACUUAUUUCCUGGAGAUAGAAAGCACAAAAAUGCAGUUUCACAGCUACUGUGAAACUUUCCCCCCCCCUAAAAAAGGCACUUUUUUGUUGCCUGUGUGUGGGAAGUGGGGCUGGAGUGUUGGGUUUGAGAGGUGACCUCUGCCCAGCCUGAACUGAG
ensembl:lncRNA